rnacentral:rRNA from 1 species
AACGAACGCUGGCGGCGUGCUUAACACAUGCAAGUCGAGUGCGCGUCUGUAGCAAUACAGAUGGCGCACGGCGCACGGGUGCGUAACACGUGGGCAAUCUGCCCUUCGAUGGGGAAUAUCUUCGGGAAACCGAAGCGAAUUCCGCAUAACAUUCCUUGGACUUCGGUUCGAGGACUCAAAGCCGUAAGGCGUCGAAGGAGGAGCCCGCGCACGAUUAGCUAGUUGGUAGGGUAACGGCCUACCAAGGCUUUGAUCGUUAGCUGGUCUGAG